UGGUGCCUACGGGAGGCAGCAGUAAGGGAUAUUGGUCAAUGGGCGGAAGCCUGAACCAGCCAAGUCGCGUGAGGGAAUAAGGCCCUACGGGUCGUAAACCUCUUUUGCCGGGGAGCAAGGGCGGGGACGUGUCCCGGCCCGGAGAGUACCCGGAGAAAAAGCAUCGGCUAACUCCGUGCCAGCAGCCGCGGUAAUACGGAGGAUGCGAGCGUUAUCCGGAUUUAUUGGGUUUAAAGGGUGCGUAGGCGGGGUUUUAAGUCAGCGGUAAAAAUU
rnacentral:rRNA from 1 species